rnacentral:rRNA from 1 species
CCGGCGCACGGUGGAGUAAUGCGUAUGCAACCUGCCUGAUACCGGGGUAUAGCCCAUGGAAACGUGGAUUAACACCCCAUAGUACUUUUAUCCUGCAUGGGAUGUGAGUUAAAUGUUCAAGGUAUCGGAUGGGCAUGCGUCCUAUUAGUUAGUUGGCGGGGUAACAGCCCACCAAGACGAUGAUAGGUAGGGGUUCUGAGAGGAAGGUCCCCCACAUUGGAACUGAGACACGGUCCAA